CUAACUUUCGUUCUUGAUUAAUGAAAACGAGCUUGGUAAAUGCUUUCGCAGUAGUUAGUCUUCAGUAAAUCCAAGAAUUUCACCUCUGACAACUGAAUACUGAUACCCCCGUCCGUCCCUAUUAAUCAUUACGUUGGUCCUAGAAACAACAAAAUAGAACCAACGUCCUAUUCUAUUAUUCCAUGCUAAUAUAUUCGACGGCAAAGGCCUGCUUUGAACACUCUAAUUUUUUCAAAGUAAAAGUCCUGGUUCGCUUCCCCGAAAGAUUAAGGUUACCCAGAUUUUCCUCAGGAAAGGCUCGGUUCCCAGAUCCAGUACUCACCAAAAGGCGACCGACCGGCUAAACCAGAAAUUCAACUACGAGCUUUUU
rnacentral:rRNA from 1 species